rnacentral:tRNA from 1 species
UUUCAUAUGGUAGAGUAGUAUAUUAAUUUUAAGAAUUAAAAAAAUAACAUUUUAAUUGUUUUUAUGAAAA